UGGCGGACGGGUGAGUAAUGUCUGGGAAACCGCCUGAUGGAGGGGGAUAACUACUGGAAACGGUAGCUAAUACCGCAUAACGUCGCAAGACCAAAGAGGGGGACCUUCGGGCCUCUUGCCAUCAGAUGUGCCCAGAUGGGAUUAGCUAGUAGGUGGGGUAACGGCUCACCUAGGCGACGAUCCCUAGCUGGUCUGAGAGGAUGACCAGCCACACUGGAACUGAGACACGGUCCAGACUCCUACGGGAGGCAGCAUG
rnacentral:rRNA from 1 species